rnacentral:rRNA from 1 species
UACGGAGGGCGCAAGCGUUGUUCGGCAUCAUCGGGCGUAAAGCGCGUAUAGGCGGUCUGGUCAGUCGGGUGUGAAAUACCUGAGCUCAACUCCGGAACUGCAUUCGAUACUGCCAGGCUAGAGUCCCGGAGAGGGUGGUGGAAUUCCCGGUGUAGAGGUGAAAUUCGUAGAUAUCGGGAGGAACACCAGCGGCGAAGGAGGCCACCUGGACGGUGACUGACGCUGAGACGCGAAAGAGUGGGGAGCAAAAAGG